GGAGGUAGUGACAAUAAAUCACAAUGCGGGACUAUCAGUCUUGCAAUUGGAUUGAGAACAAUGUACAACUCUUAUCGAUAAGCCAUUGGAGGGCAAGUCUGGUGCCAGCAGCCGCGGUAAUUCCAGCUCCAAUAGCGUAUAUUAACGUUGUUGCAGUUAAAAAGCUCGUAGUUGAAGUGUGGGUGAUCGCUGUUGUGAGACUUCGGUCUCUCGACAGUAAGUCACCCCCUUCCAGUAUCCAGUAGUGGGUAUUCACUUACUUACUAUUGUGUGUUGGUCCUUUACUGUGAGAAAAUUAGAGUGUUCAAAGCAGGCGUUUGCUUGAAUAGAUUAGCAUGGAAUAAUAAUUGAAGGCUUUCGUGUUCGAUUUGAUUGGUUUGUUCAUGGAAGCAAGGUUAAAAGGAACAGUUGGGGGUAUUCAUAUUCACUAGUUAGAGGUGAAAUUCUCGGAUUUAUGGAAGAUGAACAAGUGCGAAAGCA
rnacentral:rRNA from 1 species